ensembl:lncRNA
CAAGACUUCAGAGCUGUCUCUGUGCAGCACUGGCUGAAGCAGAGGCACAGAGGCAGCUGCCAGCCCUGCAGAAAAAAGCUCUGGAGUUGGUGCUGGCAGGAGGCGGGAGCCGUGAAACUGCAGGAGUGAGUGCAGAGCGUGCCAGCCAGAGUUAAACACCCAUUGAUUGACUUCCGUGCUGAACUCCGCAGGGGAAUGCAAGAGCUACCCAUCAAUACUGGCAAAUCCAGGGAUUCCCCAUGAUCAUUGUGAGCAAUGCCAUACUUCUUUUGGAUUAUGAGGGUCAGGCAUCUGGGGUUUUUGUAGAAGUAUAAUACAGCAAAGGUGGAGAUCUGCUGGAACAAUGCUCCCAAACAACUCUCACCAGCUCUGAGUAACUUAAGACUGAAUGCAGUCUUCUUGACUUCAGUCUUUUUGUUGUUGUUGUUGUUGUUGUGCUGAUGUUAACAAUUGAGAUGUUUUCACAUUAUUCAUCAGCAUUCCCACUGAUUACACAAACCUUUAAAGGAAAAUACAUUCAUCUUCUGUUACCAGUCUGAAGGUUCAUGCGGUGAGAAAAAUCGCUCAUCGUGAGUAAACUGAGAAAUACAAUGCUACAGCUCCCGUGAGUCAGACUUGUCCAGUAACCAAAGGCAGAAUGCAGGCAGUACAGUACAGCACAAAGCAAAUGCUUUUAGAGGUCACACCAAGGAUAACGCAGGACAAGCAAUUGGCUCAGGAGCUGGAGAAAAGCGUCAUGAAAAACAGCCAAGUGAGAACAGGGGAAGUGGGUUAGAUGUUGCAGCAUCUCUACAUCGAAGUUGCCAGCUAAGUGCAUUUUUUUCCUGGAGACCUGCUAAAACCUAACACGACAGUAUGUUCCUUCUGUGCGAGAUGAAACAGCGGCACUGCCAGUAGGAAUAUGUCAACAUGGUAAAUUUUCGCCUCUCUGGAAGUGGGCAGCUCGAUGAUUGCAGCCUGACUGUGACACCGAGGAACAUUACUGUCGGCUCUGCUACUUCAGACCAGAGAGGAAAUGCAAAGGAGUUCAGUUUUAUCCAGCCAAGCAUAACUUCUUAUAUGAGGGCUGUCCCUCCUCCGAUCUCUUCUACCUUCUGUUCUGCAUCUUCCGUCCCCCCCAACAUAUUGUAGCCUAAUUUGAAUGAGGAAACAGGGAUCUUUAGAAGUUAUUUAACAUCUCUUAAAAGACUUCCUUGGAAUGAGACACAAACCUUUUUAGAUGUCUUUUUCUCUUCACUAGUCAUUAGACUCUUCCCAAGGCUGAUGGUGCUGUUUCCUGUCUUUCCUGUCUCACAACAGAUUGGCAUGUGACAUAAGGAAGAUUCUCCUUUUGCCCAGCAUCACAGAGAAAAUGACUGUGGAAGAAGUCACGUUCCUCCUGACAAUGCCAUCUGCAUGACUGUGCAUCUACGGACCCACAUAACCCCUCCCCCCUGGGACCUUACAAAUAUUGACCUGGGUUAAGCCAUGGUUGGUCAGGAGGGGGCUGAUGUAUGGGAGGGGCUGGGGACAUGGCCAGGACAGCCCAAUGCUCUGUGGUGCCAUGAGGCAGGUAUGAGGCUUUGCUGGGAAGCCCAGAAGGCAAGUCAGGACCAUGAUCAAGGCCAUCAGCAUCAAAGGUCAGGUGCAGUCAGAGCAGCAAGGUGCCUCCAGCAGGUGGGGGCCUGAGCUCUGUGAAGGUCCCACCACAGCUGAAGACCCAGAGGAGGUUGAUCAUGAUGUUUUCUCACAACGUGGCAGUUUUCUAUGAAGCUGCAUCCCAGGUUACAUGCCUGCACUAGAUCAGGACAGACCUUGAUUACAAAUGCUUCAAACCUGGAGGAAGACUACAGGGAAUUUAGAGGCAGCAGGUCAGUGAUGGCUUGUUAUUGCCCAUGUCCUGCUGUUAUUCAUAGCGCUACCUUUAGUGCUCUUGUGGAUGAGAAAUAGCAGACAUGAAAACCCUGGAUGUCUUUUAGCUACAUCCUCUGAUUAACCUCCUGGAAGCUGACACAAUUCUUUGGUUUCCAAGUGAUGCCAGAGUGGAAUAAGGGCCAACCCCAUGACAGGCCCAUGUUUUAGAACAAUGAAUUAACGCAGAAAACUAGUCAUCCACAGAUCAAUCAGAAGCCUUAAUAAGAGUUUUUAGGAGGCUGAGCUUAAGAGAUUUUUGCCUUGAUUCUCCCUAAGCAAAACCUGGGUAGUCUGGAAUGGUUCUGAACUGUGUGAAUGGGUGAUGGAUGAAAGAUUCCCCAGGUACUGUGUACAAAGCAACACCACUGACCCAAAUGGUUCCUUGAAAGCUAGUCUGCUUUAUCUUGUCAGUGAUCCACAGAUAAUAGGUAUCUGGGGUAUUUUUGAACCAGGUUUUUCAAUUCAUAAGGCAGUAGGGAUGCUCUGAAUUGCCAAGUCUGGGCAAACUUUGGCACAUCUUGAAGCGUAUUUGAAGGGCUUAAAGCAAUGUCUCACAGACUUUUAUUGAACUUGUAACAGAUUGAAAGGAGGAACAGUAAGGAAAUGCAAUGGUUUUGGGCUGGAGGAAGGCAUGAGUGGGAGGAAAAUCAUGCAAUGCUCAGCCAGAUUCUUAACUGUAGAAACAAUUUUCAGGCACAGAGGUAAAGAAAACGGUUUCACAUUUUCAAGCCUUGCAAUAGCUGCACAAUGUUCUAUCAAAGUUUCUGAAUUGCUGCAGAUUCACAGUAGACUAUAUUUACAUUCGCCUGCUAGAGUGUGAAGUAAUCACACAGUAAUUUCAUAAGCAAACUUAAAAACAUUAACAGUUCUAAUUUCUGAGUGAUAGCAUAUUGAUAGUUUUGUUUCAUGUAAUUAAAAAAAGGCAGAAGGAAAAUUUCAAAGUUAAUUGCCACACUUUCAUAUAAUGAUGUGUUAUGGAAGUAAGAAACUUAGCCUUGAAAACCAAAUAAAAUCUGUCAGUGAUGGAACUUGCUUCUGAAAAACGCUUACCUCAGAUAAGACAUGUCUGCUUGUUCAAUCCAGUUAGCGUGCUCCCCCCAAACCCAGUCUUACCACAUUAUUGCUUCUUGUUUCAUGUUUACGUGCUCCCAAAUUUAAUUCUUAUAUUACAAAAAUGUUAUUAAAUAAGCAUAGCAAAUGAAUGUAUUGCUUAUCAUACUCACAUUACUUUUUAGAGGUAGCUCUUAUGAGUGAACCGCGGAAUGAGAAAGAUUUUGUCCUUUAGAGAAAGCCUAUGCAAAAUGUAAAUUUUCGUGGAUCAUUUAAGGUUUUUUCUUUUUUUUUGCCAAACUGUAUUUUCAGAAGCAUAGAAUGCAAUUAAGAGGUCUUGAUACAUUUUAGCAACUUGUGGAUGAAUGGUUAAUGAAUGCUGUUCAUGAAUUGUUAUUAUUCACGAGUCCUUGUUAUUCAUGUCUGGAUUCUUGCUUAUUCAACUGGAACAAGAUUAGUUCAGAACAUGGACUGAGCUCACCAGUCUUCAGUGCAUGCUGUGUCUUUGCAAACAAAUUUCCGAUUUUUGAAUCAUCCUUGUUGUGGUGAAUCAUUAUGAAUCCCAAUGUGUUGCUUAGGCUUUACUUACACAGCUUUUGGAUACCCCUUCAGUGUUUUAACAAGAAAUGUAGUAACUACUGUGCCUCUCAAUAACAAGUGACAAUUCAACAGCAUACACUUUCAUAGCAGUAGAUACCAACUAAGAGAAAAUAGGAUUGCUGUAUUCUGUCAAGCUAAUAAUGUGAAUGACAAGUGUCACUCUUCCUUAGCAUCCAAAGUGGCACAGCAUAGCUGGCACACAGUGCUUGUGCCUGGUCACACGAGACAUUUAGUUAACAGGUGGCCUGCAUCAACUAAAAUAGAUGUGUUGGAAAGGUUGCAUUGAAAUGCAUGCUGCAUACCUCUUUCUCCUAAUCUUUUCCCAUUGCACAAGCACUUUCUGUUCUAUUAAAUUCUGUAUUAAAUGAACAUUGUGUCCUAUAAGAAUUACAGCAAGAGGAAAUUAUUCUCAGUUAUCACAUUACAGAAAUGUAAAGCUAUGAAAAAUAACGACAAAUUAUUUUUUCAUGAUGUUUCUUCAUAGGAGGCUGCACUUACUGUUUUGCAUUCAUAGUUUCAAAGUUGUGCCUCCAUUACAUUACAAAAUGCAGGUGGCCUAAUUAAAGCCAAGACUUAUUAACAGUCGAGUGGGAAGAUCAAAUCGUAAUGAAAGAAAUAUUAUGAAUAAUAUAUAGUCAUUUAUACGGAGCAGAAGCUAAAAUAGGUAGGCAAAUUUUGAAUUAGUUAUCUCAAAUUUAUAGAGAGCACUUUUCCCCAUUUGAACCUUCAAAGGACCCAGUCUGUAAUACACCAUUCAUGUUUAUUGUAGCCUCUUUACCUUUUAAUCUCACCCGUAGUUCUGUUAUUCUUCAGUGUAUCUACUUAAAGGAAUGUAUAGGCCUUAAAAAAACUGUGUUCAUAUGCAUCCUAAACACUUAAAUGGUACUGGAGGCUGACCCUAGGCAAAGCACAGGCUAGCAUAUUCUGUGUGCAUGUGUUGUUGGUGGUGACUGACUGACCGAGAAAUAAAUACAUUUCAAAAUGGAAACAGAAAUAAAUGCUUCAACGUUGAA